CAAUAGCGUAUAUUAACGUUGUUGCAGUUAAAAAGCUCGUAGUUGGAUUUCUGGAGGGAGCGUCGGCCCGUAUUUACGAGUGCGUGACGUCUCUGUCCAUCCUUGCGGGAAGGCACGGCAUUGAUUUGUUGUGUCGGAUCGCAUCAUUUACUGUGAAAAAAUUAGAGUGUUCAAAGCAGGCUUUCGCUUGAAUACAUUAGCAUGGAAUAAUAAGAUAGGACUUUGGUGCUAUUUUGUUGGUUGAGCCUAAAGUAAUGAUUAAUAGGGAUAGUUGGGGGCACCUGUAUUGCGUUGUCAGAGGUGAAAUUCUUGGAUUUACGCAAGACAAACAGCUGCGAAAGCAUUUGCCAAGGAUGUUUUCAUUAA
rnacentral:rRNA from 1 species